GAUCCAUUAGUAUUUGGUAACAGAUGUAGCUUUAUUCUUUUGCAGAUGGCUGGCCACUUUCCCAAUAUCAUUUUAUUGAGCAAUUCCUGUUUCUCCAUUGAUUUUAGCAUUACAUUUAUUAUAUACUAAAUUUUCUACAUAUAUUUAGAACUGGACUCUCUGUCCUCUCUUACUGUUCUAUUUGUAUAUAAUGUGCAAACACCAAUUGCUUAAUGUCGAAAUACAUUUAUAUAGCAACUGAGUUAUCCUCACUUAUUAUUUCUAUUUUUCUGAGCUUUUCUGGGUAUUCCCAUGGGUUCAUUUUUCCACAAAGACUUUCCCAUCUGUUUUUCUAAUUUAAAAUAUUCCACUGAUAUUUUACUUUGGAUUCUAUCAAAUUCAUUAAUUGGAAAACUGACAUCUUAACAAUAUUGAGACCUUCUCUUCAAGGAUAAGGUACGCCUUUUUUAUUCCAAAAUAGUUUCUUUAUAAAAAUCAUGCUGAUUUCUUGUUCAGCUUAUUGCCAACUAUUUUUUGGUUGUUAUUUAAAAUGUUAUCUUUUCUUCCAUUAUAUACUUUAAUCUGUUGGGUGUAUAAAUCUGGGGAAAUUGAAUAAUAGUCCCUAUGCUUUCUUAAACAGAAUAUGCCCAAUAUAAUUUAACUUUUUUCUUUUAACAUAACUUGCUAAAAUUAUGUAGACUACUAUGACUAAUGUGAUAAACUAUAACUAUGUAAAAUAUCAUAAUAGAUGCUAGAAGAUGAUGGAUAAAAUUUUUAUAGGUAAAGGUGUAUAUAUUGCAUAACCUGACAUCAAAAUCAGACAAAGAUAGUUUUGUCCAGUGUUAUUAAUGAAUCUCAUUGUUAAAAUUAAAAAAUAAAUUCUUGAAAUUUAAAUUCAGGAGUCUUCUAUCAUUUCGUUAAUUCUAAGCUAUAUAUUUUUUUUACAUUUUCAUGUCUUUGAAGAUGAAAAGCACAUUAUAAUUCAUAUGUAUAUCUUACAUAGUAAUGUUUCUUUUUCCUGUUGAAAGUUUCUUUACCAUAAUUGAUGACAUCUAAGACUUGAGAAAAUACAUUAUAGCCAUGUAGGUUUCCUACCCUCCCACUUCAGGAAAGCAAGGAUGGUUUAGUAUACUUAUUAUUAUGAUCAAUUUUAACUGUUGUUCAAAGAAUAAAAUGCAUGAAUUUAUUGAGAGAUGUUGAAAGAUUUGGAUAAGAUCUAACAUCUGAUUUUUUUAAAGUAACAUAUUAGAUAAAUAAUAAUACUUCACUACCAUCAUAAGAAUAUCUUAAGCCAAUUACCACCAUCAUUCUUAUAAGACAGUACAUACAAAUUUUACAUUAAAGUUAUUAAGAAAAAAUGAAGUCCUUCUAUCAUUGCAUGGAAUAAAUUUUUCUAUCAAUCUAGCUUAAGUUUUGUUGGAUUAAAAAAUGGUAUAAAAGUGCAAAGGAGGAGAAUAUGCAUUGUUUUAAGGUAUAUUCUUACUCUUUCUAAAUUAAAUUUUAAAGUAAAUUCAAUUAAAUUGAAAAAUGCAAAAAUCAAUAAAUUCCUUAUACUCUUGUAACCAUGUAGUCUGAAAGUGGAAUAAAUAUUGUUCAUGGCAACAGAAAUAAUUCUGAAAACCUAGGAAAAAACUUAGAAUGAGUGGGAACAAAUUGAAGAAAUUCAAAAAACUGCUAAAGACAUAAAAGCAACUUAAAGACAUAAGGAAUCAUAUUACUUCUUUAUAUAAAAAUCCCAAGUAUGUCACAUAUGCAGUUUUAAGGCACUUAGAACCUACAAAUGUUUAACAAUUUCCUAUUCUUUAUUCUGAUUUUAGGGCUUAAAAGCUUACUACUCAGCUGACUCAUUAUCAUUUAUCUGUGCUCACCAUUUUUGUCUAUUAAUGUUAGCAAUACUUUUUUGCUUCUCUCUUUUGCCUUUCACUAGAGGAAGACAAAUCAAACUGUGCAAUUUCACCAACGCUCUGAUCUACUACAGAGAUUGCACACAUCAUAUUCCUCAGAGUAGCAUUUUUAGGAUAGCUCUAACAUUGGAUACAAUGGGUGACCUAGAGAGAACCCUUUGUUGGAUGACAUGUGUUCAACAUGGUAGUCUGACAUCCUCUAGGAUUAUAGGCAUUACACAGGGCAUUCUUUGUGCCUUAAUCAUCAUAGCUGUUUGCUUUUUUUCUCUUUUGUCACUUGUUAUUCUCCAUUGUCAGAGUGUCUACUGGUUUCCAUGCCUGUUCUGCUUCUAAUUGAUGUCACCAUGCUGAUCACCAUCCUUCUCCUCUGCAUGUUUCAUAGUUUUUUGCAAAAGGCAGGCUUAGUAUUUCAUCAAAGGGCCCUUCCCAUCCAUGUGGCAGCUUUUAUCAGCUGCAUUUGGUGCUGUGCUGCUUCUUUGCUGCUAAAAAGUUUCAUGUAUUUUUCCAGCUAUUUAUGAGUUUGAAGGCUUUCUGGAAGUCUGGCUAUUCUAGAAAGCUGAAUUCUGGAUAGUAAAAGCUUCCAUGGAAUUGUCUUUACAGAUAAGAAAAAAUGCAACUUUUACUAUAAAUAGAAUGAAUGUGUUCAUUGGUAUCUGGACUUAAUUAAGAAUAAUUUUAAGAUGAAAAUCCCAAGAAUGUAUAGGAAGGGCAUGGAGGCUAAUCUUUUCUAGCAAGAAUUAUCUGUCAGCCGAUCAUGCUGGCCACUUUGUACAGUCAGUUCUCAUUGUUUAAGGUAUUCAUGUUCUAUAAAAUCACCACAACACUUGACGGGAUGAGCACUGGGUGUUAUUCUGUAUGUUGGCAAAUUGAACACCAAUAAAAAAUAAAUUUAUUAUUAAAAAAAAUCACCACAACCAUUGGAGAAUAUGGAACCACUGCUCCUAUGGGAAAUAUAGGGUUAGGUUCCUGUAAGCCUCUGUCACAACAUUUUUGUCAACUAAUCAAUACAUAGCUUUGUUAUACGGGUGUUUUUAUCUAAAAGCACCUUAUUCAAUAUAUAUUGUUCAUUGAUUUAUUGACAUGGAACUCAUGGCAAACAGGACUCUAGCUUAAGCCUGAGUGAAGCUUAUCUAACACAUGCAUUUUCUCCAAAAGGCACAUCAUACUCUUCUUGCAGUUAGAAACAUCAGACCAGCACUUCAACACUACGCUUGGACAUUUGGAAGACAAUUUGUGAAGCAGUGAAAUUACCAACAAAAAGCAAAAAUAAAUAAAUAAGUAAAUAAAUUAUCCAAAACUAUGGCACUAAAUAGACCAUGGAAGGACAACUUUUACAAAAUGAGAGGUGAAACAAGAAGGCAGAGCAUAGUCUCCUUUGACUUCAACUGUGAACGUCUGUCAGGCAACUCAAAUUUUUUACCAGUUCUUGUAUGUCCAUAAAUGACCAGGAGAGUGCCAUGAGCAUUGAUUUUGGAGUUACAAAUAAAUUUUGGCAAGUAGGUUAAUUCACAAUUACUGAAUCCAUGAAUAACAAGAAUAAUUUGUAUUUGGAAUUUCAUUUAAUAUUUUAAAAACUCUCAAGGAUAAAUCUUGGUAUCCUCAACUUACAGAAGCUUCAUAGUAGAGAAGUUUCAAGAAUAUGUUAAUAACCCGUGGUGCUUUUAUUUAAUUAUAAUACCCUAAUAAUUCUUCCCAUGACAGUUUUCCAAAUGUGAAUAAUGACCUUCUAAUUCAUUUUCUUUGAAGAAACUUGAAUAUAUUUGCAAUAUUUAAAUUGGAUGCAUGCUCAUCUAAAAACAAUAAAAUAGUGAUCUAUGUCAUUUUCUUGGGCUUCUUCUAAUCUUUGUAAGUAUUUACAGCAAUAAUACACAUGCACACAUUACUCCUGACUUUCUUUUUGGAAGAGUUUAAAAAUAUAAUUAUGGAAAGGCAAGAAUUAUGACCAGAGUUCUUAACUCAGGCUUCACAUGAGAAUCACUUGAGAAGUUAAAUAAGGAGAUAUGAAUGCCAAAUCCUAACCUGGGUCAAUUAAUGAAAAUCUCUGUGGGUGAGACCCAAGCAAUUAUAAUGUAUUAAAAAACAUUCAGGGGCACCUGAGUAGCUCAGUUGGUUAAGCAUCUGCCUUUGGCUCAGGUCAUGAUUCUGAGGUCCUAGGAUCAAGCCCUGUAUCGGACUCUCUGCUUAGUGGAGAGCCUGCUUCCCCCUCUUCCUCUUUCUGCCUGCUUGUGUGCUCUCUCUCUGUCAAAUAAAUAAAAUCUAAACAAAACAAAACCCCCAAAAUAUUCCAGAUUAUUUGAACGUGUGGCCAGAUUGAGAUCCAUUGACUUGCAGGGGAUGCAGAAACCAGGCAAGCCUGUUUACUUCAUUUUCUUCAAUGAGGAGUCCCGAAAGGUAUGGAAAAAAGGAUAAAAAUCCAUGAUAGAAUCAUAGAACUGGCUGAACAGUGGUGUAAAUGAUAAUCUAACACCACUGAAUUAAAUGGAAAGAAGAACCUUUGGAAUUUGGAAUCAAAAGAUUAUCAUGAUCCCUCCUUUUUUCCUCACCUUAGAUUAUGACCUAUAUAUGGGUCUUUGGUAGAAGUUUUACAAUCACAUCAAAAAAAUGGAAGAGAAGAUUCCAUAUCACUGUAAAUUCCCGAGGCAGGGACUAUACCUAUUUUGCUUGCCACUGAAUCUCCAGAGCCCAGCACAGUGUCUGGAAAAAAAAAUGUAUGUCUCAUUAAAUAUGUAUUGAAUAUAUUAGUAAUGCUUCGCAUUGUUCUGAGAAUGAGUGAGGCAGGGAUCUUGAAUCUUUGAUUAAUUCUCCAUUUAUUUAUUCACGGGUGGCAUCUCUUCUACAUGUAUGCAUGCCUUGUGUGUGUCUA
rnacentral:lncRNA from 1 species